rfam:Camelus ferus unplaced genomic scaffold scaffold762, whole genome shotgun sequence.
GAGAAUAUAGCUUAGUGGUAGAGUGCAUGCCUAUCAUGUACAAAGUCCUGGGUUCAACCCCCAGUACCUCCA